GUCCACGUGGGGAGGGCCGACCCCCUUUCUGCAGCCUCGCCCUAGCGUCCGUGUAGCGUCUCGCCGCUCGGGUUAGUUACUGGUGGAGGCCGUAGGGGACCCUAGAUGUGCCGCCAGAGGUCGUCGGGCCGACUUAUAGGGGCGGCGACCAAGGACAACAGAGCGCCUCUGCCAACCAGACUAUAAGAAGAGAGAGAUGGGAGAUUAGGGUGGGUCCUGGCCACCUCACCAGGGGAGAGAGCAUCAGUGGAGUACGGCCCUUAGAGACCUGGACUUGUCUUGGUCCUGAUAAUCUUCAUCCUCCCAUAGGGGAGAAGAGAGCCUGAGAGACUUGCAGUCAAGGAAAUGUUUCUGAGGUCAUUGUUCAAUGAGCAUGAAGUAAGCAUCCCGGAAAUAGUCUGCUUGGAGGGGACGAACUGCAGUGGAAUGGGAACAUUGUGGAACAAGACCAGGUUCAAAGGCAAUUUCAGAGGCUGUCCAUUAGGAUUUGGAUGGAGCAGGGAAGAGAAGGCAGGAGCCUUUGAACAAAUGGAAACUGCCUCCACUCUACCCACAACUCCCACUUGGUUAUGCUUACACAUGAAUGAGACUAAGAAACUGAGGCCCAGAGAAUGAAGCAACAGUUAAAAGAGCGAAGCACUUAACAAACUUCAAGUCCGUAGGUGCCUUUUCUCCGGCUGUCAGACUGCGGCUUUCCACCUGAGGUCCCAAUGAGCACUUAAAAAAAAGAAAGAAAGAAAAGAGAAAAUAUCAGAGUGCAUCCAACAUACUGGAGCAACCACACUGCAGUCCUCUUGGCCACAGCGGGAAGACAGCAGGCCUACCAAGUGGGAGAAGGAAUCGAACACCAGUGGAACUGCAGGACAUGGCCAGUGAGUCCAGCAGGAGUUGGAGAAUUGACAUGGGACUGGAUUCUCCUUGUGUUGCAUCAAGGGAGGCAAACCAUGAAGUUGGAUGAAGGAGAGUGGAUUGAAUUGGGAGCACUGCUAUGUGGUACAGGAUGUAACACCCUGGCAAGGAGCAGGCAGUGGUAUUAAUGCUCUACUUGGUUGGCUCAUGGAAGCUUAGAAAAAGCAAUGGCUUGCACUAAAUGAAACAGAACUGCCAGCACUGCCAUGGCAAAUAGUGGGUGAAGGGAUCAAAAGACCCAGAGAAGUGGGCAUGCUGGUGUAGACAGGCUACUGAGGACAGAAAACCCACCAGGCGGCUGUGGUCCACAGGAUGACCUGAAGAACAUUCUAUUUUUCCCAAAUGAUAAGGAAUGUGCUAGUGAAUAUGGCCACCAGCAUGGGUAAAAAGUCCAGUGGCUGCUCCUCUCUAGGCCAGGGCUGAUGGGAGAUGCCCGUGCAGAAAGAAGUACGCUUCUAAUUCUGAUGAGGAUGACAGAAUCUCAAAAUAAUAGAGGCCAGUGAUGGCACGCCACUGCCAGCAGCAAGGUGGGUAAGAUUACUAUAAUACAUGACAAGAACAGUUGUAAUUCACAGCAGCCAGAGGAGUCUGUUCCCAUAGAGAAUUAUGGAGAUGGUAUUAGAACAUAGUAUUCCUAGGGGGCAAGAUAUAGCUUAAUUUAUACAACUAAAGGGAAUCAGAUGGAUGAUAAAGGCUCAAGGCAGCCAUCCCAGUAAAAAAUUAUGAUCAGUUGCCCAUCAGACCUCUGACUGAAGGGAGGCUGAGCUGCAUAAGGAAGGAUCCUACAAUGUCAUGGCAAAUGUAUAUGGUAGUGAUGGUCCCUCUCCAAAUGGACCUCUAAAGGGACCUCAGAAGAAAGGAGAAUAACCAGAUAUUUCAAGGCCUGUCGGACACAGGAUGAGUUAACACUGAGAAGCAGAGACCUGAAGUAUCAUCAUUAUGGAGCCCAGCUCAUACAUGGCUGGGCCAGGCCAAGUCAUAGUGGACCCACUGUGCCCAUAGAUCCACCGGAUGCUCAUUUCCCUGAUCCACAAAUAGAUCACUGGAAUGGACAUGUUUCCCAAUCAGAAUAACCCCAUAUGGUCCUCAGCCUGUGGGGAAGAACCACUGUAGGGGGAAAAGUCAAGUGGAAGCCUCUGAAACUGCCUCCCCGACCAAAAUAGUAUGUCAAAAACCAUAUUCCAUCCCAGGGGGGAUUGGCCUAAUAAAUUAGCGUCACCCAUAAAGAUGAAAGAAUGUGCAGGUGGAGGUGCCUAUCAUACCCCCUUUUAAAUCACAUCUGGUUCCUGCACAAACCAGAUAUAUCCUAGCAGAAGGCAAGUAGACAACUGUAAACACAACCAAAGGGUAGCCCCAGUGGUUGGUUAUCACGGCUUUGCCUGAGAGGUAUCCAGAUGUUUCUUGGUUGAGCUUAACAGGCUAUCAGGAAUGCAGUACGCAGUCUGAUCUGGCAAAUGGCUGUUUUGCAUCCUGAUCAGGGGCCAUUUACAAUCUUGCCCCAGGGUAUAACUCUUCCAACCUCUGGUUGUUGUCAAAAAUGCCUUGGGGUGGAAUUAGGACCCCUGAGAGCAAGUCUGGGUUAGGUUAAAAAAAAAAAAUCUUGCAGGGUGAAGAGCAGGAGUAGACCAACUAAAAGUGUUUACAGAGAAUUGCAGUCAUAUGCAACAUAAUGUUGAGCUCACUUUUGGAACACAAGCUCUCGGAAUCUGUACUCAUUUCUGGUACUCCUUUCCUCCCUCAGGAUGGACUGGGGCAAGAGACCUUGGAAGCAAUGAAAGGGGUUACUUCCACAAGCCUCCUAGCCUCUCUCCAAGACCGACUUGGCCCACUUUUUGACCCCGUCCUGCAGAUUUUGCAUUUAUUGUACCUUCCUUCCCAGUCAUUCCAAACAAGAGACUUGCUCUUUCUCACCUAAAACUAAGCAGGGACCUCCAACUUCUUCCACCUGUUGGCCCUUAAACUCCACUCGCUGCAUCACAGGUAUCUUAGGAAUCCUUGACCCUCAGCCUCUAAGGCUCUCAGCCUGUGCCUCCCACAAUUGACCUGUGAGUCCAGCAGACCCCACAGGUGCCUCAGAGCUGCCCAAGUUCCUCUAAAAUAAUUUUUUGUAUGUAUAUAUGUAUUGAUGUAUU